AUUCUAGGAGGUAUCCAUUUGUUUUUAUUGAGUCCAUCUCCAGUCUACAAAACCCAUUCAAUUCUCUCAGUAUUCGGAGUACAAACAGCUCAGCUUUCGUGAAAACCCCAGGCUUCUGUAUGACUGAGGCGUGCUGGUGAUUAAAUCUACCUCCAUCAGAGUGUGUUUUCAGACUGAUGUGUUUGUUUUUCAAUGCAUCUUACUUCUCUUAUUACUGACAUAGUCCAGAUGGUUCUGCUUCCAGGAGCCACUCAGUCACAGUAAUAAUCAGCUAAUCCAAUACCACCACCUUCUGGCUUUGCAGUAACUUCAUUGCUGUUAUGAAUAAACUUCCAUUAUGCUUUCUUGCUGUAGGUGAAAGUAAAGGGAUCACAUUUUGUAGGACCUUCAGCAAGUCGUGCUCCCUUUGGGACUCUAAAUAUCUCCUUUCUCUUUAGGAACUGGAUUGUGUCUAAAGUGUCCUGCUGGGUAUUUCUGUCCUGCUGGAGCAAGUCACCCAGCACCAUGCCAGCCAGGUACAUACAAUCCUCUCCAAGGACAGGAUGAAGCCACUGACUGCAGAGCCUGCCCAGCAGGAAGAGCUUGCACUCAGGCUGGAUUAGCCCAGCCUGACUCCGAGUGCUUACCGGGGUACGUGUGCCCAGCGGGGUCAUCCAGCCCCCAUUUUCCCAGCAAUGCCUGUCCUCCAGGAACGGUUGGUGAUGGCUUCGAUCUCUUUGAUAAGUCCCAGUGUGAGACGUGUCCUGCUGGAUAUUUCUGUGCUAGAGGAACAGGGGGAAAACAGAAGCCUCCUGCUCCGUGUCCGGUUGGUCACUACUGCCCACCAGGCACAAAGCACGCAGUGCAGCACAAGUGUGCCCCGGGCACCUGGAGCAACAGGACAAGGCUGAAAUCAGAAGAGGAGUGCUUGCUGUGCCCUGCGGGCUGGUUUUGUGUGGGAGGAUCUCAAGUCCCUUCUGGCAUGUGCAGCUCGGGGCACUACUGCCCUCAAGGUAGGCAGUUUUUGCUAGAAAUGAAAGAAAUUUCCUUUAUUUUUCUGUCUUUAGAGAUGCAAUGGGCUCUGAUAAAGUCAGCACAUGGCUUUAUUAGU
rnacentral:lncRNA from 1 species